UCAUAGCGGGAGCGCAUUGUUUAAAAAAUGAGUAUGAAAAUCUAUUUGUAGACAUUUUAUUCGUAAAAUCAAAGUGGUAAGGGCUGAAACUUUUCAAAAAUCACGUUUAAAAUUCGAAACGAUUAUGAAGUGUGCAGUGGGUAAUUGUACACAAGGUAGUGAAAACGGGGUUUCAAGCAUACUGCAGUAGAAUUCCAAACAAAUACAAUCAGUCCAGGCUCCUACUCCUAUAGUGAUUUUCGACUUUCCGGUUGACGUUAUACUAUAUUUUAGAUCAAUAUGAUGUUUUAAUGAAAUUAAGUAGCUACAUUCUCACAGCAGGAAAUAAAACAAAACGAUUUAAACAUG